GCCAGCCCGCUCAGAACUUAAAUAGAAUUGACGGGGCCCGCACAAGCGGUGGAGUAUGUGGUUUAAUUCGAUGCAACGCGAAGAACUUACCUGGUCUUGACAUCCCGGAGACCCUUAGGAAACUAGGGGUGCUUCCAUCUGGAAGAAUCUGGAGACAGGUGCUGCAUGGCUGUCGUCAGCUCGUGUCGUGAGAUGUUGGGUUAAGUCCCGCAACGAGCGCAACCCUUGCCUUUAGUUGCCAGCAGUUCGGCUGGGCACUCUAAAGGGACUGCCGGUGUUAAACCGGAGGAAGGUGGGGAUGACGUCAAGUCCUCAUGGCCUUUAUGACCAGGGCUACACACGUACUACAAUGGCCGAUACAAAGGGCAGCGACACUGCGAGGUGAAGCCAAUCCCGUAAAAUCGGUCUCAGUCCGGAUUGGAGUCUGCAACUCGACUCCAUGAAGUUGGAAUCGCUAGUAAUCGUGGAUCAGCAUGCCACGGUGAAUACGUUCCCGGGCCUU
rnacentral:rRNA from 1 species